AGUGAACGCUGGCGGUAGGCCUAACACAUGCAAGUCGAACGGCAGCACAGUAAGAGCUUGCUCUUACGGGUGGCGAGUGGCGGACGGGUGAGGCAUACAUAGGAAUCUAAUUUUUCGUGGGGGAUAACGUAGGGAAACUUACGCUACUACCGAAUAUGUCCUACGGGUGAAAGCAGGGGUUCUUCGGACCUUGCGCGAUUGUAUGAGCCGAUGUCGGAUUAGCUAGUUGGCGGGGUAAAGGCCCACCAAGGCGACGCUCCGUAGCUGGUCUGAGAGGAUGAUCAGCCACACUGGAACUGAGACACGGUCCAGACUCCUACGGGAGGCAGCAGUGGGGAAUAUUGGACAAUGGGCGCAAGCCUGAUCCAGCCAUACCGCGUGGGUGAAGAAGGCCUUCGGGUUGUAAAGCCCUUUUGUUGGGAAAGAAAAGCAGCAGGUGAAUACCCCGCUGUUCUGACGGUACCCAAAGAAUAAGCACCGGCUAACUUCGUG
rnacentral:rRNA from 1 species